UUAAUUUUUCUAAGUUAUAAACCCUAGAUUUGCUAAUUGUAAACCCUAAUUUCUAAUUAGGCACGCUUAAUGAUAAUUAAUAAAACAUAAACCUAAUUAUCAAGUCUAUGUGAUUAGGAAACCGAAUUAAUUAAGAAACCUUAAUUUUGUAUUUUAGAAACUAAAAUUUUAUUAUUUUAUUAUUUAUUUAUUUUUUUUAAAACCCUAAAUUGGAAAUUCUAGAAAUUAUUUUUAAACCCUAAAAUGGUCCAAACCCUAAAUCCUAACCCAAACCCUAAACCCUAAGGGUUUGCAAGGAUUACAAGAUUGCCCUUAAUUUUAAAGGCCAAAUGACAUUUUUGCCCUUCUUGUAUUAUUUGAGCUUGCUUGUGUAUCUAACCCAAUAAGGAGUGGGUGACCUAACUUGUUGACAUUGUAACCUAAAUAAUGCCAGCANN
rnacentral:lncRNA from 1 species